UGGUGGUUGCCUUGUCAGGUUGAUUCCGGUAACGAACGAGACCUCAGCCUGCUAAAUAGUCACGAUUGCUUCUUGCAGUCGGCUGAACUUCUUAGAGGGACUAUUGUCGAUUAGACAAUGGAAGUAUGAGGCGAUAACA
rnacentral:rRNA from 1 species